GACGAACGCUGGCGGCGUGCCUAACACAUGCAAGUCGAACGGAAAGGCCUUUUUCGGGGGGUACUCGAGUGGCGAACGGGCGAGUAACACGUGAGUAACCCGCCCUCGACUUUGGGAUAAGUUCAGGAAACUGGGGCCAAUCCCGGAUAGGACCUCCGGCCUCCGGGUGGGGGCUGGAAAGCUUCGGCGGUUGGGCGUGGACUCGCGGCGUAUCCGCUUGUGGGUGGGGUAGUGGCUUACCAAGGCCUUGGCGGGAAGCCGCACUGAGGGGGUGAGAGGCGGCCUUGAGACUGAGGUGCGGCCCAGACUGGUACGGGAGGCAGCAGUGGGGAAUAUUGCACAAUGGGUAGCGGGCGGGUGCAGCAACGCCGUGUGCGGGAUGACGGCUUUCGGGUUGUAGACCACUAUCGCGCAUGACGAAGCUUUGUGUGACGGUAGUGAAUAAAGAAGCACCGGCUAACUACGUG
rnacentral:rRNA from 1 species